rnacentral:rRNA from 1 species
GACGAACGCUGGCGGCGUGCUUAACACAUGCAAGUCGAACGGAUCAGCGGAGCUUGCUCUGCUGGUUAGUGGCGAACGGGUGAGUAACACGUGAGCAAUCUGCCCCUGACUCUGGGAUAACUGCGGGAAACUGUAGCUAAUACCGGAUAUGACGACCGACGGCAUCGUCUGGUUGUGGAAAGAAUUUUGGUCAGGGAUGAGCUCGCGGCCUAUCAGCUUGUUGGUGAGGUAAUGGCUCACCAAGGCGACGACGGGUAGCCGGCCUGAGAGGGUGACCGGCCACACUGGGACUGAGACACGGCCCAGACUCCUACGGGAGGCAGCAGUGGGGAAUAUUGCACAAUGGGCGGAAGCCUGAUGCAGCAACGCCGCGUGAGGGACGACGGCCUCGGUUGUAAC